CGCUGGCGGCAUGCCUAAUACAUGCAAGUCGAACGCGACCAGCCGGUGCUUGCACUGGCGAAGUCGAGUGGCGAACGGGUGAGUAACACGUGAGAAACCUACCCUGGAGUGGGGAAUAACUCGAAGAAAUUCGAGCUAAUACCGCAUACCUUCUUACCGUCGAAUGGUGGUUUGAAGAAAGAUUUAUCGCUCUGGGAGGGUCUCGCGGCCUAUCAGCUAGUUGGUGAGGUAACGGCUCACCAAGGCAUCGACGGGUAGCUGGUCUGAGAGGACGAUCAGCCACACUGGAACUGAGACACGGUCCAGACUCCUACGGGAGGCAGCAGUAGGGAAUCUUGCGCAAUGGGCGAAAGCCUGACGCAGCAAUGCCGCGUGCGGGACGAAGGCCCUAGGGUCGUAAACCGCUUUCAGUAGGGACGAAAAUGACGGUACCUGCAGAAGAAGCUCCGGCCAACUACGUG
rnacentral:rRNA from 1 species